rnacentral:misc_RNA from 1 species
GGUAGACGUCCUCCUUCGCUCUCACUGCCUCACGGACAGGCAAAAUCGUUUCACGCUCUCACACCCACACUCACACACGUACACGUACAUGUACGCACUUACUGACCCAAACAACCCCACUUCCACCCACACAGCGCUUUCUCUAUGUGAUUCAUGCGUAUUCCUUUGGUAGCCGCGCGACCCUGACUUGUGCAUCGUCAUCACACUUCCAGUCCUUUUCGCAUAUUUCUCAUGUUUUUGUGCCACCAACGCGUUGGUACGCUUCUCUACUUUCGAUGUGGUGGCCUGUUUACUGUGUCGCGCUGCUCUCUGGGGCGUCAGGGAGGAGUGCGCCGGGCCCCCCUCUCUCCUUUUUUGUUUCUCUUUCUUCGCCUUUCUGAGAAGAGAGCAACCAUGUGAGGAAUUGUGAGUGCUCGCUCUUUAUGUCACGAUGCCAUCACCCUUCCAAACCGGACGCAUCGCCGCACGCGCGAGCAGAGAGACAGCGGCACACAGAUAUGCACACACCGAUAAGGAGAAAGGAAAGAUUCUCCUGUGCCGGUCUUGGCGUCAGAAUGGGUGGGCAACUUGGUUGUGGCGCGGUGCAUGCUUGUAGCGGGCGCCAUCGGCCUCACUGCGCUCAAGCACGCGCUGCAACGCUUCCAUCCAUACACAGGCUGUGCACGGUGGGCCGACUCGCCCAUCACAUUGCACAGGAGCACAACGACGAGGAGGAGGAGGGGUAGGCGACAGAGCUCGCGUCGAGCGAACCUCAGCGCGCACCAGCACAGCCGCUACCACAGCAGUGUUGAAAGCCACAGCACUGCUUAUGCACGAACAGGCGGUCGCAGCGCGAGAGUUCUUCGAGCUGGACGUCUCCACACAUGCUGAAGAAGAGUCAGACGAGGGUGCACGGUAGCAGGCAGGCUUGGGCAGGGGUGCCGCGAGUGAGGUAACUGUGGGAGACGAGGCUACCGAGGAGACACCACGGCCCUUGGCGGUGGAAGAACAAGGGGAGACCAAGCUUUUCUAUGUGCUGCCAGCAACAUCGCAGGACGAGGAGGAGUCACUGCGGAAUCUUGCGGAUAGAGGGAAGGCGCCGGAGGAUUCAGCAACACUAUGUGCGGCGCACCAAGCGGGAGGUAGGGGGGGGAAGCUGAUCGAUGACGAGGACCUCUCCGAGGACAGCCGGAAAAAGGCCGAUGCGUAGAAAGGGAGGGAGGGGGGCCCCGGGAUGACAGCGAGGCACCUAGUGUGACCCCUCGACCAACCCCCCUGCCGGCCCACUGUCGCCGUGCUCGCUUUCCGCACGCCUCAUGGAGGAGCGGAUGCCGCCAUCACGAGGGCGGCAGGUGGCGUGAGCGCCGUCAUCUGCCUCUCCUUUGGCCGCCUCCGCACCUCCGGCCGCCACCACCGCCACUGGGGCCGCGCUCCCCGUGUGCCACUUCACUUGCGCUGAUGAUGGCUGACCCCACCCUGUCGUGGAGGGUGAAACCGGGAGCGCGGCUCGGUAUCGACAGACGGUCGCCCCCGCCGCUUCUUUCCAUCCUAGCCGAAGCCGGCCAAGAUGUCGCCAACCCUGAGUGGCCGCUGCAGGAGCAGCGCGUCUGCCAAGGCAGCAUUUCAGACAACAGAGCGUGCCACGGUGACUCGGAAGCAGCGACGACCGAGUGCGCUGAACAACGAGACCAUGUGAGCGAGUGGGGUGGUUUCGGGGGCAGAGGGGAGGGCGUAAGGGAGUGGAGGGCGGUGCGGUGUGCUUCUCCUCCAGUGUGUGUACGUCGCAGCCAGCCCAGGCCGUGGGUCCUUUGGACCGACACCGCCGGCCCUCGUAUCACACUUCUCUCUUUCUUCCUCCUCCUGGUUUCUAUCUCGGUUGCGUGCACACAGCUCCAGAGGCAAAAGAGAAACGAAUGGGAUGGUUGAGUGCCGAAGCCGUCGACAUCUCGCGGCGCGUCCUUCCCCGCUGUGCGCGUGUGAUUUGCUCGUGUCUCCUACCUAACCCCGACCCUCUCGUCUCUCUCGACACGUGGGGCAUACGGGAUGAUGCCACGUGUGGGUGUCUGUGUGCCGAUGCAGGUUUCUCUAUGGGAGAGCUACCACUCCCCUUUCCCCGCACAACAGCUAACCUACACACACGGCCGGGCUACGUCGAUCUCCUCUCCCUACUGCGCCUCUCGUCGUUUACGCCUUCCAACACAUACACCUACAUAUGUAUAUGCACAUCCUUUUCCACGCCUUACCUGCCCACCCACUCACGACACACCCCACGCCACGCCACGAUACGCCUCUCCUUCCCUCUUCUCAUCGCGGGCCCUUACACAG